rnacentral:lncRNA from 1 species
AUUCCAAUCCCAAAAUCAAGAGUCAGAUGUCUUCCCUCAUGAAGGGUAAAACCAUCAGAGAAGAUAAAAAGCAGAAUUCUAUCAUUUAAGGCAGUUAACAACUUUCACAUUCAACAAGUAAAAGCAGAAAAGAAAAGUUAGCCCGGUGCACAAAGCAUUCCGCAUUCACGAAGGGUCGAGGAACCCCAAGAGGGUGUGAAGUAGGCAAUCUACCAUGAUGAAACCAGUUAGUCACUGAUUCCACUGCUCGACCUGUGGCCUAUAGGCUAUUUUGCUCGGCCUCUCCAAAAUCAUCUUGGAUGGAUGUCGGUCCUCCAAAGUAUUGCAUUUUUCGAGAACCCGAUACAGGUGUGCCGGCAAUUUGGAGAGUUCGCGCAACAUAGGAUAACUUUACCUCCCCUCCAUGUUGAACAAGUAAAUAGAAGAUAUUUCUUUCCGAAACCAUGCAAAUAUAACAGAGAAGUUGUUCAAAUAAAAACUAAUUAAAAUAUCAGUCAUCAUUAUAAACCCUAUAUCAUUUUCUAGAACAAAAGCCAGACAUCUUCAGGGCAAACCUUUUUUGAGAAGAAAAAGUAGACAACUCUUAAUUAGAAUAAUCAAGAACUUCACCCCAAGACAAGAGGGGUUGCACUGAUGGUAAGCAACCCCACUUCCAACCGAGAGGUUGUGAGUUCGAAUCUCCCCAAGAUAAGGUGGAAUUUUUUGGAGGGAAGGAUGCCGGGGUCUAUUUGGAAACAGCCUCUCUACCCAAGGGUAGGGGUAAGGUCUGCGUACACACUACCCUCCCCAGACCCCACUAAGUGGGAUUAUAUUCUUCAAUGCAGUUUUGGAAACAGCCUCUCUACCCAAGGGUAGGGGUAAGGUCUGCGUACACACUACCCUACCCCACUAAGUGAGAUUAUACUGGGUUGUUGUUGUAGAACUUCAUCCCAAACAAGUAAACUAAAUAAAAAUCCAGCAUUCCAGAAUCCAGUUUAUUAUGCACAGUAACUUGUAUCACCAAAUCGUUUCCUUGACAUUGAAAGAUGCUUAUACAACAAAGAUACAGCAAUUCUAGGAUCCUCUCAACACAUCUUGGCAAUGUGCAAAUGUAACAAGGACAAAUACAGCUCAACUCUUUUGAAAGUGUAACUAUAAACAACCAUAAACACAGACAUUUGUUAUCAAUAUUUACAACAAAACAGAAAGAAUUAAUAUAAUCAAAGAUCCACAAAUCGUUACUAAUCCCACACCACCCCCAAACCCAACCCCCCAAAAAAGAAGCUUGGAACCAUGCACAUCGAAUAGGAAAAGAUAUAGCUAAAUUUUUUAAGCAGUAAGAAAUUACCCAUGCUGACUUUCAUCAUCAAUCCAAGAAAAAAUAGAAAAGCAGAGAGAGGCACACAAUACAGAAAACGCAACUCAAAAUACUAACUAAUUCAAUUCAAUCAAAG